rnacentral:rRNA from 1 species
AGCGAACGCUGGCGGCAGGCCUAACACAUGCAAGUCGAACGGAUCCUUCGGGAUUAGUGGCGGACGGGUGAGUAACACGUGGGAACGUGCCCUUUGGUUCGGAACAACUCAGGAAAACUUGAGCUAAUACCGGAUGUGCCCUUCGGGGGAAAGAUUUAUCGCCAUUGGAGCGGCCCGCGUCUGAUUAGCUAGUUGGUGAGGUAACGGCCCACCAAGGCGACGAUCAGUAGCUGGUCUGAGAGGAUGAUCAGCCACACUGGGACUGAGACACGGCCCAGACUCCUACGGGAGGCAGCAGUGGGGAAUCUUGCGCAAUGGGCGAAAGCCUGACGCAGCCAUGCCGCGUGAAUGAUGAAGGUCUUAGGAUUGUAAAAUUCUUUCAGCGGGGACGAUAAUGACGGUACCCGCAGAAGAAGCUCCGGCUAACUUCGUG